UAGGGCUUCCCCAACACCUCCAAUUCGACCAAGGCACCCAAUUGCACUCCUAAGGUAAGUUUUUAAGUGUGUUUUCAUAGUGAUUUCACUUCUCAAUCACUAGUCACAACAUAAUUUUGAUUGGAUUUCAUAGGAUUUAUUAAAAAUUUCAAGAACACCCCAAAGUUGACUUUCAAGAUUUGGUCUACAAGAGGUAAUCCUACACCUAUGACUUACACACAUAGGGUUAAUAUGGGAUUAUGAGUAUGAAUCAGGGAUUACAACUUAUGAUAUGUUGAUUGGAGGCCAUAAACAUUCAAUUUAAAUAUAUGAACAUGAUAGGGAUUUAAAGGUGUUAUUUGAUGGAAUUUAGUUUGUUGGGUAUGAAUGGAUGGUCAUACAUGUGUAGUUGGAAGUUAUAAAUUGGUUAGGAAUGAUGGCGAGAUGAAUGGUUAGUAAAUGGUGAUAGUUGUAGGAACCAAUACUAUAGUUAUGAGGUGUAAAUAUCUAUACCUACAAGGUGUUUGAUAAUAUGCCUAAAUGGCAUAAGUUAUGGAAUUUAUUACCAAUAUUGACCCUAUUGAAUGUUGUAUUGUAGAUUGAAGUUAUAUAACUGUAUUGGAUCAUUGUGGUAUCAUUAAAGGGCGAAUUUCAGAUAUGUAUGGCUAACACCCCGUCUUUUGUAAAUCGAGCUUCAUCGAUAUUUGUGUGAUUUUGGUCAUUUUUACAUAAUAUCGCGAAUUAGCUUAGAAUUUAAUUGUAGAAUAAAUUAGUUGAAUUAUUUGCAAUCUAAUUGAAUAGAAUUGAGGCAUUUGGAGUCGGAUACUCGUGGAAAGAGCGUGGUUUUGGGUUGAAUUGCACUUGUUUGAGGUAAAUGGCUUGUCUAACUUUGUAUGGGGGACCUCUCCCCUUAGGAUAUCUUGAAUGUUUCUUAAAUGCCUUGUGCGCGAGGUGACGAGCGUGUACUUGUGCUCAUUGUUGAAAAUUCACCUUACUUGACUUAUUUAAAUUGCGUUUCCUUCCUUAUUUAACUGUUAUAAAUGCAAUAUCACUUAUUUCUGCUUAGGGAAAGCAUGCUAGUUAGCUUACUUAUUUUAUUUGACUAAAUGACAAUAUAUGCUCUUUGUGAAGCAUGGUAGACUAUAAUUUCUAUUAGUUGUCAUUGAUUAGAAUUUCUUUUACAUUAAUUGAAUUAUUGUGGUGUGUUUACUAUUUGGGACUACGUGACGUCACCCCGGAAGCUUCCCUUGGUGUGUUAUGUUCUAUGACUGGAUGUGUGGGAUACUAAGAGAUCCCUGACACAUGAUUGAUUGUAAAAUGAGGAUACUUCCGGAUGCUCCCUUGGUGUGUUAUGUUCUAAGACUGGAUGUGUGGGAUACUAAGAGAUCCCUGGCACAUGAUUGAUUGUAAAAUGAGGAUACUAAGAGAUUCUCGGGAUACUUGGAUAUUCCUCGUGAUUAAAUGGAGAAUACUAGGAGAUCCUCGGGAUACCAGGAUAUCCCCGAUGAUAAAUAGCCUGUAGGGAUUGUUCUUUUAUUCAUAUAUUGUAUUUGUAAUCUGUUUCUGUCUUGCUUAUUAUUUUUGUAGACACUCGAUAUACACUGUACUCAUAGGGUCUAUUCAUUUCAUAUUUAUUUUUAUGUUUAUCUCAGUAGGUCUCGACCUUUAUCAUCACUACCCAACCGAGGUUAGGCUUGGCACUCACUGAGUACCGCUGUGGUGUACUCACGCCUAUUCUGCACAUGUUUUUCAUAUGCAUAUCCAGGUAAUUCUGAGCAGGCGUACCGCCAGUAGCUGUCAGAAAGCGUAUUGGGGAGUUGAGGUAUACAUCUGCUACGUCCGGAGAUCUGCAAAGUCCCCUUCUUAUCCUAUCCAUAGUUGUUAGAUGCUAUUUCAAUCCCUCUUUGUAUUAGACUAUUCUGGUGACUAGAGUAGUGUACGAUUUCUUAUAGCCUGUGUUGCCCGUGGGUUUCCGGGUCUUGGAGGUUGUUUCGGUGUUCUGUUAUCUUUUUCGUAAAGAUUGUUAAAUUCCAUAAUGUGUUAGGCUUACCUAGUCGUGAAGACUGGGUUCCGUCAUGACAUGUUAACAAUUGGUGAACUAGGGUCUUGACAAGUUGGAAUCAGAGCUCUAGGUUCACAGGAGUCACGAAAUAUAGGCCGAUUUAUUAGAGUCUCGCUGAUCGUUACGGAGAUGUAUGUACUUAUCUACGAGGGGCUAUGUAGCUAUUUAGGAAAAGAUUCCCACUUCAUUUGAAUUCCUUAUCGUGUGAUAUUUUGGACACCUAUUCUAAAUGUUUGUUUUUCAAUUCUCUCACAGAUGGUGAGGACACGCACGACCUAGGACAAUCAGGCACCCGCACCCCCUCCUGCAGCCGCUAGAGGUAGGGGUCGAGGACGCGUGCGUGGUACAGCAAGAGCAUUUGCGCGAGCUAUAGCCGAGCUGCCACCAGUGGAUCCAGCCAGGACUCAGGCACCUGACACGCCCACAUCUACCACGACUCCAGCUGUUCUGGAGGUAUUGGCAGAGUUUAUGAGCAUACACUAUGACAGGCAGGGUUGCUUCCCCUUCUUGCAGCCACGUACCAGGCCGGGGGAGGAGCCCAAACUCCCGUAGCCCGCACUUCAGAGCAAAGGCUGCAUAUGGGACAGGUUCCAGAUAUUAUUCCCGUCUAGCCUGCGAUACUGUAUCAGCCCGAGGAUGGGGCACCUGCUUCUGAGGAUUAGCAUCGUAGAUUGGAGAGGUUCAAGAAGUAUGACCCUCCCAUUUUAGCAGACUAUCCACGGAUGAUGCUUUGGGGUUUUUGGAGGAUUGUCACUGCAUUUUUAGUACCAUGGGUACUACUGCCUCGAGCGAGGUUUCUUUUACAGCUUUCCAACUUUGGGGAGCCGCCUAUGACUGGUGGUGCACCUUUGAGUUAGACAGUCCGGAUGAGGCCGCCUCCCUGACUUGGACUCAGGUUUCAGAUAUGUUUCAGAGGGAGUUUGUUCCCCAGAGCCUCCGAGAUGCAUGGCACGUGGAGUUUGAGCACUUGCGCCAUGGCCCUAUGAGUGUCUCUGAGUAUGCCAUCCAUUAUACUAGGUUGGCCAGGCAUGCACCUGCUUUGGUGGCUAAAUUUUAUGAGAGGGUUCGUAGGUUUAUCGAGGGUCUUAUUCCUUCCAUCAGGUCUAGCAUGGCGCGAGAGUUGGAGAUGGAUAUACCCUAUCAAUAGGUGGUGAGUUUAGCCAGGAGGAUAGAGGGUGUGCAUGCUAGAUAGCGAGAGGAGAGAGAGGCCAAAAGGUCUCUCGAGUCUGGACAUUUCUCUGGUACUCGUACUUUAGGAGCAAGACUUCAUGGUAGGGGCUAUAUGGGUCGCCCAGUUCACUCAGCUCUUUCUUUUUGUGCCAGGGCCCUAUGACUGUCUCUAAGUAUGUCAUCUAUUAUACUAGGUUGGCCAGACAUGCGCUGGCUUUGGUGGCUACUGUUCAUGAGAGGGUUCGCCUAUUUAUUGAGGGUCUUAUUCCUCCCAUCAGGUCUAGGCAUGGCUUGAGAUUUGGAUAUGUCUAUACCCUAUCAGGAGGUAGUGAGCAUAUCUAGGAGCAUAGAGGGUAUGCAGGCUCGAGAGUGAGAGGAGAGAGAGGCCAAAUAGUCUCGAGAGUCGGGUUAUUACUCUGGUACCCGUACAUCAAUAGCAAGACAUCAUGGUAGGGACUAUACAGGUUGCCCGAUUCACUCAGCUCUUCUUUCAUCCAGCAAUACUCCAGUUCCCCCUAUAUAUCAUGAGCCUUAUUACGCACCUUCGAUUUCUAGUGUGCCUCAUGCGCAGGGUACUUUCAGAGGUCAGUCUAGCAGGGGUGGGCCCAGUCAGUCACAUCCACCGAGCCCUCCCAGAGCUUGUUAUGAGUGCGGGGAUACUUGCCAUGUAGUGAGGGAUUUCCCUAGGCUUGGGAGGAGUGCACCUCCACAGCAUUCUCAGCCACAUCAUAGCAGUGGGAUUCUCAAGGCAUUGUUCCAGCUCCAGCUGCCACCCCACAUGCCUAGCCAGCUAGGGGCGGAGACCAGGGAAAUAGAGGUUGCCAUCGAGGGAGGGGUCGGGCCAGAUUUUAUGCUAUUCCUGAUCGUGUCGAGGUUGCCGCCUCCGAUUAUGUUGUCACAAGUAUUAUAUUGGUUAGUCAAAGAGAGGCAUCGGUUCUAUUCGAUCCAGGCUCUUCUUAUUCUUACGUGUCAUCUUAUUUUACUCCACAUUUGGGUACAACCCAAGAGACCUUGAGCCCAACUAUUUAUGUUUCUUCUCUCGUGGGAGAUUCCCUUGUUGUGAACCGUCUAUAUUGGUCAUGUUUGGUUACUAUUCAUAGUUCUGAGAUCAUGGAAGAUAUUUUAUUACUUGAUAUGGUCGAUUUCGAUAUUAUCUUGGGCAUGAAUUGGUUGUCACCCCAGUAUGCUAUGCUUGAUUGUCACGCUAAGACUGUGAUGCUGGCUAUGCCAGGUAUUCCGCGUAUUGAGUGGAGUGUUACUUUUGAUCACACUCCCUGCAGAGUUAUAUAUUUUCUUAAAGCUCAACGUAUGGUUAAGAAGGGUGUGCUGCGUAUUUGGCUUAUGUGAGAGAUGUUAGUGUUUAUACCCCUUCUGUCAAUUCAAUCCUAGUGGUACGGGAUUAUCCCGAUGUAUUUACAGCUGAUCUUCCGGGCAUGUUACCCGAGCGGGUCAUUGAUUUUGGAAUUGAUUUAUUGUCGGGCACUCAGCCCAUUUCUACUCCUCCGUAUCGUAUGGCUCCUCCUAAAUUAAAGGAGUUGAAGGAUCAGUAACAAGAAUUACUUGAUUGUGAAGAAAAAGGAUGGUUCUAUGCGUAUGUGUAUUAUUGCCAAUUGAAUAAGGCUACAGUAAAGAACAAAUAUCCCUUGCCUCGUGUUGAUGACCUAUUUGAUCAACUUCAGGUCGCACAGAUGUUUUCUAAUUGCACUUGGGAUACUAUCAAUUGAAGAUUCGGGAGCCAGACAUCCCGAAGACUGCUUUCAGGACUCGGUAUGGUCAUUACGAGUUCCUUGUUAUGUCAUUUGGACUGACGAAUGCCCCAACAGCCUUUAUGCAUCUGAUGCACAAUAUGUUCAGGCCAUAUCUUGAUUCGUUUGUGGUUGUUUUCAUAUAUGAUAUUCUGGUAUACUUCCGAAGUGGGGAAGAUCAUGAGCAGCACCUGAGGACAGUACUUCAAACCCUAAGAGAGAAGAAUUAUAUGAAAAAUUUUAAAAAUGCAAGUUUUGGUUGUAUUUUGUGGCUUUCUUGGGUCACGUGGUGUCGAGCGAGGGUAUUCGGGUGGAUCCGAAGAAGAUAGAGGGAGUACAAAGUUUUCCUAGACCCUCCUUAGCUACAGAGAUUCUCAAUUUCCUCGCUUGGCGGGUUAUUGCCGCUGAUCGUAUCCGGGAAUGGCAGUGUGAUGACCCCCAUUUUCUUGUCCUCAAUGACAGGGUUGAGAAUGGUGAUUCCAGGGAUAUGACUAUCCGUGAGGAUGGGGUAUUAAGGAUGCAGGGUCGGGUCUUUGUACCCGAUGUUGAUGAUAUUCGGGAGUUGAUAUUUGCAGAGGCUCAUAGUUCGCGGUAUUCCAUCCAUCCGGGUGCCGCGAAGAUGUAUCAGGAUUUGAGACAACACUAUUGGUAGAGGCAAAUGAAGAAAGACAUAGUAGUAUUCGUAGCUAAAUGCCUCACCUGUCAGCAGGUAAAGGCUAAGCACCAGAGACUGGGUGGGUUACUUCAGCAGAUUGAGAUUCCAGAGUGGAAGUGGGAAAAGAUCGCCAUGGAUUUUGUAGUUGGUAUCCGUAUGAUGACAAAGAAAUUCGAUUCUAUUUGGGUCAUUGUGGAUCGGCUAACCAAGUCCUCUCAUUUCAUACCGGUGUGUACUACUUACUCAGUGGAGCGUUUAGCGGGGAUUUGCUUUAGGGAGAUUGUCCGUCUACACAGAUAACCAGUUACUAUCAUCUCGGACAGGGGUCCUCAGUUUAUAUCACGUUUCUGGAGGGCUGUUCAACAGGAGUUGGGUACUCAGGUGAAGAUGAGUACAACAUUUCACCCACAAACGACGGACAGUCCGAGCGCACCAUUCAUAUUUUUGAGGAUAUGCUCCGUGCGUGCGUGAUUGAGUUUAGAGGGUCUUGGGAUCAGCUCUUGCCAUUGGCAGAAUUUGCUUAUAAUAAUAGUUAUAAAUCUAGCAUUCAGAUGGCCCCCUAUGAGGCUCUUUAUGGUAGGAGGUGCAGAUUUCCGGUGGGUUGGUUUGAGCCGGGUAAAACGAGACUAUUGGGUACAGAUUUAGUUCAGGAUACGUUGGAAAAGGUCAAGUUGAUUCAAGAUCGACUUUGUACAUCCCAGUCCAGAGAGAAGAGAUAUGCGGACCGCAAGGUUCGUGAUGUUUCCUUUAUGGUUGGUGAGCGGGUUCUGCAUCCUGUCUCGCCUAUGAAGGGUGUUAUGAGAUUUGGGAAGAAAGGGAAGUUGAGUCCGAGGUUUAUUGGACCUUUUGAGAUAUUGAACCGUGUUGGAGAAGAUUCUUAUGAGCUUGCCCCACCUCCCAGCUUGGCGGGAGUUCAUCUGGUAUCUCAUGUUUCGAUUCUCCGGAGAUAUUACGGGGACCCGUCGCACGUGUUGGAUUUCAGCUCAGUCAAAAUGGACAUGGAUCUGUCCUAUGUUGAGGAAACAGUGACAAUAUUGGACAGCCAUGUCCGAAAGCUCAGGUCAAAGGAAAUAGCUUAUGUAAUGGUUCAAUGGCAGGGUCAACCGGUCGAGGAGGUGAAUUGGGAGACCUAACGGGAUACGCGCAACCGAUAUCCUCAUCUUUUCAGAACUCCAGGUAUGUUCUUUAUGCUCGUUCGAGGAUGAACGAAUGUUUAUGUGUUGGAGAAUGUAACGACCUGGCUGGUCGUACGUCUUGUUCCCCUAUUAACUGCUUCCUUGUGUUUCAUUAACGGUAUUGGGUGCAUUAGAAUUGAAUUGGAGUGAUUUUUGAUAAGUAAUGCGACACUUAUUCUCUUUUAAGAAGGCUUAAGUUGGAAAACACCAACUAAGCGUUGACUUAUGAGUUAGAGACCUCGGAAUGGAAAUAUGAUGGUUCCAUUAGCUCCGUUAGGUGAUUUCGGGGUUGGGAGCGUGUUCGGAAGGUUUUUUGGAAGUCUGUUGAUCAUUUAGGCUAGAAAUGCCGAAAGCUAGAAUUUUGGCGAUUUUCGGUUGAUAGGUGACAUUUUGAUCAGAGGAUCGGAACGGAGUUCUGGAAGUUUUUGCAGCUUUGUUAGGUGAUUUGGAAAAUGGGCGUAAAAUUUCAAGUCAUUCGGACGUGUUUAGGUCGGUUUUUUGAUGAAAUGCGAGUUUCGGAAGUUUUGGUUGAACCUAGGCUUGCAUCCGUUGAGGAUUGGUUAUUUUUGUGUUGUUGGAUGCAUUUUAUGGUUGGAACAAGUUCAUAAAAUGUUUUAAGAUGGUUUUUCACUUUUUGUUAAGGUCUCGGGGGCCUCAAAAUGAUUUCGGAUGGGUAACGGGAACUUUUGAAGUUGGAAAUUUCAUAAUAGAAGAAAGUUGCAAAUGAGUGCGCACAAGACCUCACGUUGGAUGAUCAUAUAUAUCCCUUUAUUCAUGGAGUUGUGUGAGAUAAACCCUAUCAAAUAAAAGCCCUUUGAGUCUAAAUUCCAACGCAAUAAACCGUUCAUCAUUUAGAGGUGCAUACAGAAAGUUAUGACUAUUUUACUGGGCAUGUGUCGGUAGCACGGGAUUAGCGCGGGCGCGCUAGUAACAUGCCUCUAAAUACACCUAAGUACGGGAAAUGACAUUAUUUGAGUCAUUUCUCAAGCCUAGGGCUUCCCUAACACCCCCAAUUCGACCAAGGCACCCAAUUGCACUCCUAAUGUAAAUUUUUAAGUGUGUUUUCAUGGUGAUUUCACUUCUCAAUCACUAGUUACAACAUGAUUUAAUUUGAUUUCAUAGGAUUUCUUCAAAAUCUCAAGAACAUCCCAAAGUUAACUUUCAAGAUUUUGUCUACAAGAGGUAAUCCUACACCUUAGACUUACACAUAUGGGAUUAAUAUGGAAUUAUGAGUAUGAAUCAGGUAUUACAACUUAUGAUAUGUUGAUUGGAGGCCAUAUAUUUCCAACAAUAUACAUGAACACGGUAGGGAUUUCAAAGUGUUUAUUUGAUGGAAUUUUGUUGGUUGGGUAUGAAUGGAUGGCCAUACAUGCGUAGUUGGAAGUUAUAAAAUUGGUUAGGAAUGAUGGUGAGAUGAAUGGUUGGUAAAUGGUGAUAGUUGGAGGAACCAAUACCAUAGUUAUGAGGUGUAAAUAUCCAUAGCUACAAGGUGUUUGAUAAUAUGCCUAAAUGGCAUAAGUUAUGGAAUUUAUUACCAAUAUUGGCCCUAUUGAAUAUUGUAUUGUAGAUUGAAGUUACAUAACUAUAUUGGAUCAUUGUAGUAUCAUUAAAUGGCGAAUUUCAUAUAUGUAUGGCUAACACCCUGUCUUUUGGAAAUUGAGCUUCGUUGAUAUUCGUGUGAUUUUGUUCAUUUUUACAUAAUAUCACGUAUUAGCUUAGAAUUUAAUUGUAGAAUAAAUUAGUUGAAUUAUUAUUUACAAUAUGCAAUCAAAUUGAAUAGAAUUGGAGUCGGAUACUCGUGGCAAGAGCGUGGUUUUGGGUUGACUUGCACUUGUUUGAGGUAAAUGGCUUGUCUAACUUUGUAUGGGGGACCUCUCCCCUUAGGAUAUCUUGAAUGUUUCUUAAAUGCCUUGUGCGCGAGGUGACGAGCGUGUACUUGUGCUCAUUGU
rnacentral:lncRNA from 1 species